rnacentral:rRNA from 1 species
AAAUAACUUUUGACUCAAUCUGUGAAAACAGAUUGGGUCACUACCUUGUAUUCUUGCUUGCAUGGAACCACCUUAUCCAUCCCGAACUAAGAAGUGAAACGUGCAAGGGGCGACAAUACUUGAGGGGGGGCCCUCUGGAAAGAUAGUCUAAUGCAAGGUAAUAAUUUUUAUUAACAGGAA